rnacentral:rRNA from 1 species
UUGACCGUGCAAAGGUAGCGCAAUCACUUGUCUUUUAAAUAGAGACCUGUAUGAAUGGUAAACGAGGGCUUAACUGUCUCCCCUUUCAAGUCAGUGAAAUUGAUCUGCCCGUGCAGAAGCGGGCAUAAUAAUACAAGACGAGAAGACCCUUUGGAGCUUAAGGUACAAAAUUCAACCACGUCAAGCAACUCAAUAAAAAGCAAUAAACCUUGUGAAACAUGAAAUUUUACCUUCGGUUGGGGCGACCACGGAGGAAAAAAAAGCCUCCAAGUGGACUGGGAUAAAUAUCCUAAAACCAAGAGAGACAUCUCUAAGCCACAGAACAUCUGACCAUACAUGAUCCGGCCACCAAGACCGAUCAACGAACCAAGUUACCCUAGGGAUAACAGCGCAAUCCUCUCCCAGAGUCCAUAUCGACGAGGGGGUUUACGACCUCGAUGUUGGAUCAGGACACCCUAAUGGUGCAGUUU